rfam:Ictidomys tridecemlineatus contig098200, whole genome shotgun sequence.
GUGGUUGUGGCUCAGUGGUAGAGUACUUGCCUUGGAAGUGUGAGGCACUGGGUUCAAUCCUCAGCACCACA